AACAAACACUGGCGGCGUGCCUAACACAUGCAAGUCGUACGAGAAAGGGUCCUUCGGGGCCUGAGUAAAGUGGCGCACGGGUGAGUAACGCGUGGAUAAUCUGCCCUUCAGUUGGGAAUCACUCAUCGAAAGGUGGGCUAAUACCGAAUAAUGCUGUGAGACCUCGGUUGAUCAGCCAAAGAGAGCCUCUGCUUGCAAGCCCUCGCUGAAGGAUGAGUCCGCGUACCAUUAGCUAGUUGGUAGGGUAAUGGCCUACCAAGGCGACGAUGGUUAGCUGGUCUGAGAGGAUGAUCAGCCACACUGGAACUGAGACACGGUCCAGACUCCUACGGGAGGCAGCAGUGAGGAAUCUUGCGCAAUGGGGGCAACCCUGACGCAGCAACGCCGCGUGAGUGAGGAAGGUCUUCGGAUCGUAAAGCUCUGUCGGAUGGAAAGAACCGCAUAGGGGUAAACAGCCCCUGUGUCUGACGGUACCAUCAAAGGAAGCACCGGCUAACUCCGUGCCAGCCGCCGCGGUAAAAC
rnacentral:rRNA from 1 species